CUUUUCAAAGCUGCUUUCAAAGAAGCAGAGAUAAGCCUAUAAUGAAUUUUUUAAAAUUUCAAAAUGCCCUCAUUCAUUUUUUUUUUUAAAUGACACCACCUCCACCUCCACAUCCAACUCUACCACCUCCACCACCAUCGCCACUGUUGCCACCACCACAACCACCACCUCUACUUUCAUCACCUCAACUACCACUAUCACCACCACAUCCUCCUCCGCCACCACCACCGCCUCCUCCUCCUCCAUCUCCACCACCUCCACCUUCACCCUCACCUCCACCACCUCCACAACCGC
rnacentral:lncRNA from 1 species